UGAUGAGGCAUGCAAGUCGAACGGAAUAAUGACUUCGGUUGUUAUUUAGUGGCGGAAGGGUUAGUAAUACAUAGAUAAUCUGUCCUCAACUUGGGAAUAACGGUUGGAAACGACCGCUAAUACCGAAUGUGGUAUGUUUAGGCAUCUAAAACAUAUUAAAGAAGGGGAUCUUAGGACCUUUCGGUUAAGGAAGAGUCUAUGGGAUAUCAGCUUGUUGGUGGGGUAAUGGCCUACCAAGGCUUUGACGUCUAGGCGGAUUGAGAGAUUGACCGCCAACACUGGGACUGAGACACUGCCCAGACUUCUACGGAAGGCUGCAGUCGAGAAUCUUUCGCAAUGGACGAAAGUCUGACGAAGCGACGCCGCGUGUGUGAUGAAGGCUCUAGGGUUGUAAAGCACUUUCGCUUGGGAAUAAGAGAAAUUGGCUAAUAUCCAAUUGAUUUGAGCGUACCAGGUAAA
rnacentral:rRNA from 1 species